rnacentral:rRNA from 1 species
GAUGAACGCUGGCGGCGUGUCUAAUACAUGCAAGUCGAGCGAACAGAUGAGGAGCUUGCUCCUCUGACGUUAGCGGCGGACGGGUGAGUAACACGUGGAUAACCUACCUAUAAGACUGGGGUAACUUCGGGAAACCGGAGCUAAUACCGGAUAAUAUAUUGAACCGCAUGGUUCAAUAGUGAAAGACGGUUUUGCUGUCACUUAUAGAUGGAUCCGCGCCGCAUUAGCUAGUUGGUAAGGUAACGGCUUACCAAGGCAACGAUGCGUAGCCGACCUGAGAGGGUGAUCGGCCACACUGGAACUGAGACACGGUCCAGACUCCUACGGGAGGCAGCAGUAGGGAAUCUUCCGCAAUGGGCGAAAGCCUGACGGAGCAACGCCGCGUGAGUGAUGAAGGUCUUCGGAUCGUAAAACUCUGUUAUUAGGGAAGAACAAAUGUGUAAGUAACUAUGCACGUCUUGACGGUACCUAAUCAGAAAGCCACGGCUAACUACGUG